AGUGGCGGACGGGUGAGUAACACGUAAGAAUUUACCUUUAGGAGGGGGAUAACAACUGGAAACGGUUGCUAAUACCCCAUAGGCUUUCGAGUGAAAUGGAUUUUUCCGCCUAGAGAGAAGCUUGCGGCUGAUUAGCUUGUUGGUGAGGUAAUGGCUUACCAAGGCGACGAUCAGUAUCUGGUUUGAGAGGACGAUCAGACACACUGGAACUGAGACACGGUCCAGACUCCUAGGGGAGGCAGCAGUGGGGAAUUUUCCGCAAUGGGCGAAAGCCUGACGGAGCAAUCUCGCGUGAGGGAUGACGGCCUAUGGGUUGUAAACCUCUUUUUUUCAGGGAGGAACAAAAUGACGUGUACCUGAAGAAUAAGCAUCGGCUAACUCCGUGCCAGCAGCCGCGGUAAGACGGAGGAUGCAAGUGUUAUCCGGAAUCACUGGGCGUAAAGCGUCUGUAGGUGGUUUACUAAGUCAACUGUUAAAUCUUGAAGCUCAACUUCAAAAUCGCAGUCGAAACUAGUAGACUAGAGUAUAGUAGGGGUAAAGGGAAUUUCCAGUGGAGCGGUGAAAUGCGUAGAGAUUGGAAAGAACACCGAUGGCGAAGGCACUUUACUGGGCUAUUACUGACACUCAGAGACGAAAGCUAGGGUAGCAAAUGGGAUUAGAUACCCC
rnacentral:rRNA from 1 species